rnacentral:rRNA from 1 species
CGCGUAGGCGGCCACCGCAAGUCAGUUGUGAAAUCUCCGAGCUUAACUCGGAAAGGUCAACUGAUACUGCGGGGCUAGAGUGCGGAAGGGGCAACUGGAAUUCUUGGUGUAGCGGUGAAAUGCGUAGAUAUCAAGAGGAACACCUGCGGCGAAGGCGGGUUGCUGGGCCGACACUGACGCUGAGGCGCGAAAGCUAGGGAGCGAACG